rnacentral:misc_RNA from 2 species
AACCGCCGUAUACCGAACGGUACGUACGGUGGUGUGAGAGGUCGGUAGAUAAAAUAAUUAUCUACCUCCUACUCGAU